rnacentral:rRNA from 1 species
AAAUUGAAGAGUUUGAUCAUGGCUCAGAUUGAACGCUGGCGGCAGGCCUAACACAUGCAAGUCGAACGGUAACAGGAAGCAGCUUGCUGCUUCGCUGACGAGUGGCGGACGGGUGAGUAAUGUCUGGGAAACUGCCUGAUGGAGGGGGAUAACUACUGGAAACGGUAGCUAAUACCGCAUAACGUCGCAGGACCAAAGAGGGGGACCUUCGGGCCUCUUGCCAUCAGAUGUGCCCAGAUGGGAUUAGCUUGUUGGUGAGGUAACGGCUCACCAAGGCGACGAUCCCUAGCUGGUCUGAGAGGAUGACCAGCCACACUGGAACUGAGACACGGUCCAGACUCCUACGGGAGGCAGCAGUGGGGAAUAUUGCACAAUGGGCGCAAGCCUGAUGCAGCCAUGCCGCGUGUAUGAAGAAGGCCUUCGGGUUGUAAAGUACUUUCAGCGGGGAGGAAGGUGUUGUGGUUAAUAACC